CCUUAAAAGAGGGGAUCCAUUGUCCAUUGUUACAGAUUCUCCCCAAGUGAUUAACUCAAGGCCAAAGACCCUCUCUGGUAUUGUCCCCAGCUCUCAAGGAACAGAUAUGAAAAAUGAAACAAGAUGAAUCUGGUGACCACAUGUACUCUCCUUCUCUUCCUUAAUGAGUGUGAUGAAAGAUGUCAGGCUGAAGACCGAAUUGCUACUGACAGCUGUCUUUCAACUAGGAAAGGAGUCAGUCGAAGAAACAAUCUGACCUACAGAGGAGAAUAAAUCUGAGAGAAGCAGAGCUAGAAUCCUGAUCGAACCAUACCUGAAGCUUACA